rnacentral:lncRNA from 1 species
AUGACCACAUCAGGACAGGCCAAAUUCAACCUUAUCUCUCGUACUCACCGUGCCAGUUGGGUGGACGAAAGAAGAGGACAAGGGAAAGGGGGCGAGGAGCCGGCCCCGCUUCCCCCCUUGCCCCGCCGUGCCAACUUGGGCAGCUGUAACAGACGCAGCGGCUUUUUCGAACCAGAACUCCGGGCGGCGGCGGCGGCGGAGGGGGUGGUGGUGGUGGAGCGGAGGGAAGGAGCGGGAGAGACCGGCCCGGGGCCGCCUCGCCGCUCCUGCCCCGCCGCCAUGGGCACCGGGA